GAUGAAGAACGUAGCGAAAUGCGAUAAGUAAUGUGAAUUGCAGAAUUCAGUGAAUCAUCGAAUCUUUGAACGCACAUUGCGCCCGCCAGUAUUCUGGCGGGCAUGCCUGUUCGAGUGUCAUUUCAACCCUCAGGACCCUUUGGACCUGGUGUUGGGGCUCGGCCGCUACCCCGCGGCCGUCCCCGAAAGAUAGUGGCGGUCUCGCUGUAGCGUCCUCUGCGUAGUAAUUACACCUCGCACUGGAACGCGGCGCGGCCACGCCGUUAAACACCCCACUUCUCAAGGUUGACCUCGGAUCAGGUAGGAAUACCCGCUGAACUUAAGCAUAUCAAUAAGCGGAGGA
rnacentral:misc_RNA from 1 species